UGGGGAAUAUUGCACAAUGGGGGAAACCCUGAUGCAGCGACGCCGCGUGAACGAAGAAGGUAUUCGUAUCGUAAAGUUCUGUCCUAUGGGAAGAUAAUGACAGUACCAUAGAAGAAAGCUCCGGCUAAAUACGUGCCAGCAGCCGCGGUAAUACGUAUGGAGCGAGCGAUGUCCGGAAUUAUUGGGCGUAAAGGGUACGCAGGCGGUUUAAUAAGUCGAAUGUUAAAGGUCGGGGCUCAACCCCGCAAAGCAUUGGAAACUGAUAAAAUUGAGUAGUGGAGAGGAAAGUGGAAUUCCUAGUGUAGUGGUGAAAUACGUAGAUAUUAGGAGGAAUACCAGUAGCGAAGGCGACUUUCUGGACACAAACUGACGCUGAGGUACGAAAGCGUGGGGAGCAAACAGG
rnacentral:rRNA from 1 species